UGAGAACGACUGGGCCAAAUUGGAGAAUUCUUUUUUAUUGUGUUUGUAAUUGUUAGGACAAGGUUUAUAUCAAAGAUUUUUUUGGAAAAUCCACGGGAAAAGACAGGUCGUGGAGUGCGGACA